rnacentral:rRNA from 1 species
GAUGAACGCUGGCGGCGUGCCUAAUACAGUCAAGUCAAGCGAACAGACGAGGAGCUUGCUUCUCUAACGUUAGCGGCUGACGGGUGAGUAACACGUAGAUAACCUCCCUUUAAGACUGGGAUAACUUCGAGAAUCCGGUGCUAAUACCGUAUAAUAUCUUGAACCGCCUGGUUCAAUAGUGAAAUACGUUUUUGCUUUCACUUAUAGAUGGAUCCUCGCCGCAUUAGCUAGUUGGUAAGGUAACGGCUUACCAAGGCAACGAUGCGUAGCCGACCUGACAGGCUCAUCGGCCCCUCCGGAGCUGCGACCCGGUCCAGCCUCCCACGGGAGGCACCAGUAGGGACUCUUCCGCAAUUCGCGACAGCCUGACGGAGCAAUGCCGCGUGAUUGAUGAUGCUCUUCGGAUCGUAAGACUCUCUUAUUUGGGAGGAACAAAUCUCUAAGUCACUAUCCACGUCUUGACGGUAACUGCUCAGCAAGCUACGGCUACCUACCUG